rnacentral:rRNA from 1 species
UUGUCCGGAAUUACUGGGUGUAAAGGGAGCGUAGGCGGGACGGUAAGUCAGGUGUGAAAUAUACGUGCUCAACAUGUAGACUGCACUUGAAACUGCUGUUCUUGAGUGAAGUAGAGGUAAGCGGAAUUCCUAGUGUAGCGGUGAAAUGCGUAGAUAUUAGGAGGAACAUCGGUGGCGAAGGCGGCUUACUGGGCUUUUACUGACGCUGAGGCUCGAAAGCGUGGGGAGCAAACAGGAUUAGAUACCCUGGUAGUCCACGCUGUAAACGAUGAUUACUAGGUGUGGGGGGACUGACCCCUUCCGUGCCGCAGUUAAC